GACGAACGCUGGCGGCGUGCCUAAUACAUGCAAGUCGAACGCAUUUUCUUUCACCGUAGCUUGCUACACCGAAAGAAAAUGAGUGGCGAACGGGUGAGUAACACGUGGGUAACCUGCCCAUCAGCGGGGGAUAACACUUGGAAACAGGUGCUAAUACCGCAUAAUUCCAUUUACCGCAUUGUAGAUAGAUGAAAGGCGCUUUUGCGUCACUGAUGGAUGGACCCGCGGUGCAUUAGCUAGUUGGUGGGGUAACGGCCUACCAAGGCUGCGAUGCAUAGCCGACCUGAGAGGGUGAUCGGCCACACUGGGACUGAGACACGGCCCAGACUCCUACGGGAGGCAGCAGUAGGGAAUCUUCGGCAAUGGACGCAAGUCUGACCGAGCAACGCCGCGUGAGGGAAGAAGGUUUUCGGAUCGUAAAACUCUGUUGUUAGAGAAGAACAAGGAUGAGAGUGGAAAGUUCAUCCCUUGACGGUAUCUAACCAGAAAGCCACGGCUAACUACGUG
rnacentral:rRNA from 1 species